rnacentral:misc_RNA from 1 species
AAAGUCGUAACAAGGUAACCGUAGGUGAACCUGCGGUUGGAUCAUUAAAAAACGUUGGUUUUCGUAACCAUCAACCCUGUGCGCAAUCACAAUGUCCCUUUUGGGAGCUGUUCUUUGUCGGAUGAGUUCGUAGCGAUAAAGAGGUUGGGGUUUACUUCCCUACUUUCCGUAAGCUCACCCAUCUGGCAUGCUCCCAAUACUUUUAGAGUACAACAUCUUAUUUUUUUUUGUUUCAACUUCUUACUAUUUAUAUUUUCACUGCGAAGUGAACGUAUGAAAACAUUUACAACUUUUGACAACGGAUCUCUUGGCUCUC